AGCUGGCAGGGAGUGGAGCCAGAGGCAGAAAAGGAGAGAAAAGUUUCCUGCCGUCUUCAUUAGUUGACUUCCCAGUCCACAGCCACAGCUUCCCGGGGCUGCAGAAUUCACUCUCAAUAAAGAAAGGAGGCUUAAAAAAAAAAAAAAGUCCUGUGUUUACAAGACCAGAAAUGCCAGCGCUAAGUCCUUCCAGAGAGAAAGGCUGAAAUGGAGGACCGACGCCUUCCUUAUAAGCUCAUCGGAGCACGAUAGAAAAGCAACUGUAAAGGCAGAGAGAGUAAGAGCGGAAGGAAGGAAGUCAGCGCCAACGUAGACCAAAAGGAACCACCCAGAAAUGUAGAAAAAGGAACCGGCAGAGGUCCCCAACAUCGGUAGAAGGACAGAAGACACGCACGGAGAAAGGUUUAUGUUUUGUUUUGUUGUUUUUUAAAUUUCAACUUGGAGCUCAAUGAAGAAAAGGCAAAAUAUAGGCCAGUGGACCAGAGGACCGGAAGAGGACCAGUCAUAGCUCACAGUGUGCCGGGUCCAGAUGGAAGGAACUCCAGACAAACCCCAGUGGCAGGAUAGGCACAGUCCUGAAGGCUGGGGGCUCGCCCCUUGAAACCCUCUUCGCAGGCUGCCUGAGUUCUUUUGCUCUCCUUAUCAUCCCCAUCUUUAUGACGAGGCUUGUUAACAUGACCAGCGAUCUGACCACGCACAUCUAUCUCCACCGCACACGCACUCAGCCGAGCAGCUGAGCUGGGGGGACUGAGAGGCACUAAUUAAUUGAUUCCUUGGACUGUAAAAUAUGGCUGUGUCUACACACACGGAACCUGUGGACUCAUAAACAAUAUGUCUGCAGAUGUGAGUGCACUGUCUCUUAAAGAAUUUUUCUAUAGUUAUGUGCCUAUUAGAAUCCAGGAUUUGAAAGACUCAAAUAAGAUUGCUUUUUCAUAAGCCUCAACACAGUACAAUGUCAGAAAAUUCUGCAAAAACUUGGGUUAUGGAAUAGGUUUUCUCUGCUGUUACUGUAGACACACAAAUUGGCUUCUGACUGCUAAGUGUUAGGAUCAAAAUCAAAGCCCAGCUGAGAAGGCCUGAAUGAAGCCUUUGCCCUUCCUGGGAGAAGGGGAAUGGGCCCAGGUUCAGGCCUUACUUCAUAAUGCUGCUUAGGCUCAAGAUUAUAAUAUUAAUAUAUAUAUAUUUACAAACCCUAACCUAAAGGAGCCUAACCCUAACCCUUACCUAGCUCUCCAGAUCACUGUCCACCCCUUAACUAUCUGCCUGCAUAGAGCAUUGCUAUAACAUGCUUGCAUUAGUCUUGGAAGAAUGUGUCUUGAGAUGCAUAAGUAAAUAGCUCUAACAAUUCUAUAUAAUCAUGAUUCCAUAGUGAAUCUUGAUGCAAAUAGGCGUUAAUAUGUUCUCAACAGAUACCAGCUUCAGACAAGAGACACAACAGGAAACUAAAAGUGACCAUUUAUACAACAAUGUUUGCUGACAUACAUGGCUAUUUCAAAGACAAAAAUACUAGGCAGAAAUAGAAAAACACAAAUAGAAACACAAAUAGAAAAAACCAAUUAACCAGUGGAGUUUGUCAUUACCAAUGUCAUCAUUGCUUCCUGAUUUUGGGUGACUCUUUUAAACCCGGCUGUGUUCCCUUCAUUCAGCACGGCAGAGAUGGUCUACCUUCCCAUACCUUCAGCUCUGGCUCCAAUAUUUAUUUUUUAAAAAAUCUUCAGAGAAAUGUAUACCACAAAUAAUAUGUGCAUCUAAAGAAUAUGCCAAUAUAAUUUACAUAUUUUUUCAUAUACUAGGCUGAUAUGCACUUUGUAUGUGUGUAAGAAUGUGAUAUAAUUCUGAGUUUUUACUGCUGUAGUAAUAUUUGGGUGCAUUUCAUGCAAUAGUUCCAUAUGCUACAGAAUGUAGAUACACGUGACUAAAUGAACUCAGAAAAGCACACCCUUUAUGUAGGAUAUAUGAAAGCCUUGCUUACAAAUGCAAAUAAAUUCUUGUUUGUGAAUCU
ensembl:lincRNA Hotair HOX transcript antisense RNA (non-protein coding)